AGCUUUGCGCAGUGGCAGUAUCAUAGCCAAUGAGGUUUAUCAGAGGCGUGAUUAUUGCUAAUUGAAAACUUUUCCUAAUACAAUAUUAAUACUUUGUUUUCUGAUAGUGUAAAAUUAUAUUUCUUUUUAGUAGCAUUCUGC